rnacentral:rRNA from 1 species
GGAAUAUUGGACAAUGGGCGAAAGCCUGAUCCAGCCAUGCCGCGUGAGUGAUGAAGGUCCUCGGAUUGUAAACCCCUGUCGAGCGGGACGAAUGGCCCGCGACUCAACACGUCGUGGGAGUGACGGUACCGCUAAAGGAAGCCACGGCUAACUCUGUGCCAGCAGCCGCGGUGACACGUAGGCACCAAGCGUUGUCCGGAUUUAUUGGGCGUAAAGAGCUCGUAGGCGGUUCAGUAAGUCGGGUGUGAAAACUCAGGGCUCAACCCUGAGACGCCACUCGAUACUGCUGUGACUUGAGUACGGUAGGGGAGCGGGGAAUUCCUGGUGUAGCGGUGAAAUGCGCAGAUAUCAGGAGGAACACCAGUGGCGAAGGCGCCGCUCUGGGCCGUAACUGACGCUGAGGAGCGAAAGCGUGGGGAGCAAA